rnacentral:rRNA from 1 species
UGCAUGUCUCAGUACCUGCCGACCUAAGGCGAAACCGCGAAUGGCUCAUUAAAUCAGUCAUGAUUCAUUGGAUGUUGUAAAUCCUUACUCGGAUAACUGUGGUAAUUCUAGAGCUAAUACGUGCAACUAAGCUCCGACCCCGGUCGUAGUCUCGGCUUCACUGCCGUGGCUUUCGGUCGGGGGAAGGGCGCAUUUGUUAGACCAAAAAACCGGGUGGAAAGUAGGGUUGCCGCUUUUAUUAGCGGUUUAACUUCAAAAUCCUCCGUUACGGUUUUGUGGUGACUCUGGAUAACUACAGCCGAGCGCUGAGGUCUUUGUACCGGCGCCGUAUCUUUCGAGUGUCUGCCUUAUCAGCUCUCGAUUGUAGGUUAUUCGCCUACAAUGGCUGUAACGGGUAACGGGGAAUCAGGGUUCGAUUCCGGAGAGGGAGCCUGAGAAACGGCUACCACAUCUAAGGAAGGCAGCAGGCACGCAAAUUACCCAAUCCCGGCUCGGGGAGGUAGUGACGAAAAAUAACGAUGCGGGACUCUUCCGAGGCCUCGCAAUCGGAAUGAGUUCGAUUUAAAAACUCGGACGAGGAUCCAUUGGAGGGCAAGUCUGGUGCCAGCAGCUGCGGAAAUUCC